CCCCCAUAUGGAGUCAUUUACAACAGUUUGAAUCAAAUAUGUGUUGUUGUGUCUGUAAAGGUGGUGGCCUGUCUGGUGUCUGUAAAGGUGGUGGUCUGUCUGGUGUCUGUAAAGGUGGUGGCCUGUCUGGUGUCUGUAAAGGUGGUGGCCUGUCUGGUGUGUGUAAAGGUGGUGGCCUGUCUGGUGUCUGUAAAGGUGGUGGCCUGUCUGGUGUCUGUAAAGGUGGUGGCCUGUCUGGUGUCUGUAAAGGUGGUGGCCCGUCUGGUGUCUGUAAAGGUGGUGGCCCGUCUGGUGUCUGUAAAGGUGGUGGCCCGUCUGGUGUCUGUAAAGGUGGUGGCCCGUCUGGUGUCUGUAAAGGUGGUGGCCCGUCUGGUGUCUGUAAAGGUGGUGGCCUGUCUGGUGUCUGUAAAGGUGGUGGCCUGUCUGGUGUCUGGUGUCUGUAAAGGUGGUGGUCUGUCUGGUGUCUGUAAAGGUGGUGGCCUGUCUGGUGUGUGUAAAGGUGGUGGCCUGUCUGGUGUCUGUAAAGGUGGUGGCCCGUCUGGUGUCUGUAAAGGUGGUGGCCCGUCUGGUGUCUGUAAAGGUGGUGGCCUGUCUGGUGUCUGUAAAGGUGGUGGCCUGUCUGGUGUCUGUAAAGGUGGUGGUCUGUCUGGUGUCUGUAAAGGUGGUGGCCUGUCUGGUGUCUGUAAAGGUGGUGGCCUGUCUGGUGUCUGUAAAGGUGGUGGCCUGUCUGGUGUCUGUAAAGGUGGUGGCCUGUCUGGUGUCUGUAAAGGUGGUGGCCUGUCUGGUGUCUGUAAAGGUGGUGGCCUGUCUGGUGUCUGUAAAGGUGGUGGUCUGUCUGGUCUGUAAAUGUGAUGUAGUGGUCUGUGACUGGUCUGAAAAGGUGAUGUGAUGGUUGGUCUGUAAAGAUGAUGUGAUGGUUGGUCUGUAAAGGUGAUGUCUGGUCUGUAAAGGUGAUGUCUAGUCUGUAAAGGUGAUGUGAUGGUUGGUCUGUAAAGAUGAUGUGAUGGUUGGUCUGUAAAGGUGAUGUCUGGUCUGUAAAGGUGAUGUCUAGUCUGUAAAGGUGAUGUGAUGGUUGGUCUGUAAAAGUGAUGUGAUGUCUGGUCUGUAAAGGUGAUGUGACGGUUGGUCUGUAAAGGUGAUGUCUAGUCUGUAAAGGUGAUGUGAUGGUUGGUCUGUAAAGGUGAUGUCUGGUCUGUAAAGGUGAUGUGAUGGAUGGUUGGUCUGUAAAGGUGAUGGUUGGUCUGUAAAGAUGAUGGUUGGUCUGUAAAGAUGAUGUCUAGUCUGUAAAGGUGAUGUGAUGGUUGGUCUGUAAAGGUGAUGUGAUGGUUGGUCUGUAAAGGUGAUGUGAUGGUUGGUCUGUAAAGGUGAUGUGAUGGAUGGUUGGUCUGUAAAGGUGAUGUGAUGGAUGGUUGGUCUGUAAAGGUGAUGUCUAGUCUGUAAAGGUGAUGUGAUGGUUGGUCUGUAAAGGUGAUGUCUGGUCUGUAAAGGUGAUGUGAUGGAUGGUUGGUCUGUAAAGGUGAUGGUUGGUCUGUAAAGAUGAUGGUUGGUCUGUAAAGGUGAUGUGAUGGUUGGUCUGUAAAGGUGAUGUGAUGGUUGGUCUGUAAAGGUGAUGUGAUGGUUGGUCUGUAAAGGUGAUGUGAUGGAUGGUUGGUCUGUAAAGGUGAUGUGAUGGAUGGUUGGUCUGUAAAGGUGAUGUGAUGGAUGGUUGGUCUGUAAAGGUGAUGUCUGGUCUGUAAAGGUGAUGUCUGGUCUGUAAAGGUGAUGUCUAGUCUGUAAAGGUGAUGUGAUGUCUGGUCUGUAAAGGUGAUGUGACGGUUGGUCUGUAAAGGUGAUGUCUAGUCUGUAAAGGUGAUGUGAUGGUUGGUCUGUAAAGGUGAUGUCUGGUCUGUAAAGGUGAUGUGAUGGAUGGUUGGUCUGUAAAGGUGAUGGUUGGUCUGUAAAGAUGAUGGUUGGUCUGUAAAGAUGAUGUCUAGUCUGUAAAGGUGAUGUGAUGGUUGGUCUGUAAAGGUGAUGUGAUGGUUGGUCUGUAAAGGUGAUGUGAUGGUUGGUCUGUAAAGGUGAUGUGAUGGAUGGUUGGUCUGUAAAGGUGAUGUGAUGGAUGGUUGGUCUGUAAAGGUGAUGUCUAGUCUGUAAAGGUGAUGUGAUGGUUGGUCUGUAAAGGUGAUGUCUGGUCUGUAAAGGUGAUGUGAUGGAUGGUUGGUCUGUAAAGGUGAUGGUUGGUCUGUAAAGAUGAUGGUUGGUCUGUAAAGGUGAUGUGAUGGUUGGUCUGUAAAGGUGAUGUGAUGGUUGGUCUGUAAAGGUGAUGUGAUGGAUGGUUGGUCUGUAAAGGUGAUGUGAUGGAUGGUUGGUCUGUAAAGGUGAUGUCUGGUCUGUAAAGGUGAUGUCUGGUCUGUAAAGGUGAUGUCUAGUCUGUAAAGGUGAUGUGAUGGUUGGUCUGUAAAGGUGAUGUGAUGGUUGGUCUGUAAAGGUGAUGUGAUGGUUGGUCUGUAAAGGUGAUGUGAUGGAUGGUUGGUCUGUAAAGGUGAUGUGAUGGAUGGUUGGUCUGUAAAGGUGAUGUCUGGUCUGUAAAGGUGAUGUCUGGUCUGUAAAGGUGAUGUCUAGUCUGUAAAGGUGAUGUGAUGGUUGGUCUGUAAAGGUGAUGUGAUGGUUGGUCUGUAAAGGUGAUGUGAUGGUUGGUCUGUAAAGGUGAUGUGAUGGUUGGUCUGUAAAGGUGAUGUGAUGGUUGGUCUGUAAAGGUGAUGUGAUGGUUGGUCUGUAAAGGUGAUGUGAUGGUUGGUCUGUAAAGGUGAUGUGAUGGUUGGUCUGUAAAGGUGAUGUGAUGGUUGGUCUGUAAAGGUGAUGUGAUGGUUGGUCUGUAAAGGUGAUGUGAUGGUUGGUCUGUAAAGGUGAUGUGAUGGUUGGUCUGUAAAGGUGAUGUGAUGGUUGGUCUGUAAAGGUGAUGUGAUGGUUGGUCUGUAAAGGUGAUGUGAUGGUUGGUCUGUAAAGGUGAUGUGAUGGUUGGUCUGUAAAGGUGAUGUGAUGGUUGGUCUGUAAAGGUGAUGUGAUGGUUGGUCUGUAAAGGUGAUGUGAUGGUUGGUCUGUAAAGGUGAUGUCUGGUCUGUAAAGGUGAUGGUUGGUCUGUAAAGGUGAUGUCUAG